rnacentral:rRNA from 1 species
CCUACGGGGGGCAGCAGUGGGGAAUAUUGGACAAUGGGGGCAAACCUGAUCCAGCCAUGCCGCGUGUGUGAAGAAGGCCCUCGGGUUGUAAAGCACUUUCAGUGAGGAAGAACGCCUGGUGGUUAAUACCCAUCAGGAAAGACAUCACUCACAGAAGAAGCACCGGCUAACUCCGUGCCAGCAGCCGCGGUAAUACGGAGGGUGCGAGCGUUAAUCGGAAUUACUGGGCGUAAAGCGCGCGUAGGUGGCUUGAUAAGCCGGUUGUGAAAGCCCCGGGCUCAACCUGGGAACGGCAUCCGGAACUGUCAAGCUAGAGUGCAGGAGAGGAAGGUAGAAUUCCCGGUGUAGCGGUGAAAUGCGUAGAGAUCGGGAGGAAUACCAGUGGCGAAGGCGGCCUUCUGGACUGACACUGACACUGAGGUGCGAAAGCGUGGGUAGCAAACAGGAUUAGAUACCCUAGUAGUC